CAGCAGCCGCGGUAACACGGAGGGGGCUAGCGUUGUUCGGAAUUACUGGGCGUAAGGCGCACGUAGGCGGCUUGGUAAGUUAGAGGUGAAAGCCUGGAGCUCAACUCCAGAACUGCCUUUAAGACUGCCGAGCUAGCAGGUGAGAGAGGUAAGUGGAAUUCCGAGUGUAGAGGUGAAAUUCGUAGAUAUUCGGAAGAACACCAGUGGCGAAGGCGGCUUACUGGCUCAUACUGGACGCUGAGGUGCGAAAGCGUGGGGAGCAAACAGGAUUAGAUACCCCAGUAUCCCUGUCUCUUAUACC
rnacentral:rRNA from 1 species